rnacentral:piRNA from 1 species
UUCUUUGAAAUUUCAGAUUUCUGGUCAUGGU